UUCCUACGGGGGGCAGCAGUGGGGAAUAUUGCACAAUGGGGGAAACCCUGAUGCAGCGACGCCGCGUGAGUGAAGAAGUAUUUCGGUAUGUAAAGUUCUAUCAGCAGGGAAGAAAAUGACGGUACCUGACUAAGAAGCCCCGGCUAACUACGUGCCAGCAGCCGCGGUAAUACGUAGGGGGCAAGCGUUAUCCGGAUUUACUGGGUGUAAAGGGAGCGUAGACGGUGAUGCAAGUCAGAAGUGAAAGGCGGGGGCCCAACCCCUGGACUGCUUUGGGAACUGUACGGCUGGAGUGCAGGAGAGGU
rnacentral:rRNA from 1 species